UCAGUGGUGAUGAGCCUCUAACAUGUAAGAAGAAUCCUCUGUUGGGUUUCUUCAAUGAAAUAUACUUGUUACGCUUGGCUUCUGAGCUUC